GACGAACGCUGGCGGCGUGCUUAACACAUGCAAGUCGAACGAUGAAGCCGGAGCUUGCUCCGGUGGAUUAGUGGUGAACGGGUGAGUAACACGUGAGUAACCUGCCCUUGACUCUGGGAUAACUGCGGGAAACUGUAGCUAAUACCGGAUACGACCCUCGGCGGCAUCGCCAGGGGGUGGGAAGAAUUUCGGUCAGGGAUGGACUCGCGGCCUAUCAACUAGUUGGUGAGGUAACGGCUCACCAAGGCGACGACGGGUAGCCGGCCUGAGAGGGUGACCGGCCACACUGGGACUGAGACACGGCCCAGACUCCUACGGGAGGCGGCAGUGGGGAAUAUUGCACAAUGGGCGCAAGCCUGAUGCAGCAACGCCGCGUGAGGGAUGACGGCCUUCGGGUUGUAAACCUCUUUUAGUAGGGAAGAAGCGAAAGUGACGGUACCUGCAGAAAAAGCACCGGCUAACUACGUGCCAGCCGCCGCCGUAA
rnacentral:rRNA from 1 species